rnacentral:sRNA from 1 species
CAUCCUGAAAGACGGUACUGCUGCGGCAGACUGAAGCGGAAGGGAACUAUG